CGAUUAGGAGGGCGAGAACCCCUCCCGCCGAACGACUAAGGUUUCCCAGGCAAUGCCAUUCAUCCUGGGGUCAGUCGGGUCCUAAGGCUAAGCCGAGCGGCGAGGCCGAUGGCAGACACGGUCAACAUUCCGUGACUACCGCCAUCAGUGAUGUCCAGACGGAGCAGUGACACCUCCGCGCCCUGACGGAAUAGGGCGUUGAAGGGCGUAGGCUAUGAUGAUGCCAGGCAAAUCCGGCAUCAGAGCUGAAACCUGAAAGUACGGGGUCCCCUUCGGGGGAACCUGAGAGCGAGGGUAAUCAUACUCCCGAGAAAAUGGGCUAAACUCAUGUUGGCGGUACCCGUACCGCAAACCGACACAGGUAGUUGGGUAGAACACACUAAGGCGUUGAGAGAUUCAUGGCUAAGGAACUAGGCAAACUGACCCCGUAACUUCGGGAUAAGGGGUCCUCACCUCCGGGUGAGGCGCAGAGAAUAGGUCCAGGCAACUGUUUAACAAAAACACAGGGCUGUGCGAACUCGAAAGAUGAAGUAUACAGCCUGACACCUGCCCGGUGCCGGAAGGUUAAGAGGAGAUGUCACCGCAAGGGAAGCAUUGAAUUGAAGCCCCGGUAAACGGCGGCCGUAACAAUAACGGUCCUAAGGUAGCGAAAUUCCUUGUCGGGUAAGUUCCGACCUGCACGAAUGGUGUAAUGAUCCGGACGCUGUCUCGGCCAUGAGCUCAGUGAAAUUGUAGUAUCGGUGAAGAUGCCGAUUACCCGCGAUGGGACGAAAAGACCCCGUGAACCUUUACUACAGCUUAGCAUUGACCUUGGUCAUCCGAUGUGUAGGAUAGGCCGGAGGCUUCGAAGCGGCGUCGCCAGGCGUUGUGGAGCCAUCCUUGAAAUACGGCCCUUUGGCUGUCUGAGGUCUAACGCGGAUAGUCGCGGACACUGCUUGGUGGGUAGUUUGACUGGGGUGGUCGCCUCCAAAAGCGUAACGGAGGCUUCCAAAGGUGCCCUCGGGCCGUUUGGUAAGCGGCCUUCAAGAGUGCAAUGGCAAAAGGGCGCUUGACUGGGAGGGAGACAUCCCGAGCAGGCAGGAAACUGGGGCAUAGUGAUCCGGCGGAUGUGUAUGGAAACUCCGUCGCUCAAAGGAUAAAAGGUACUCCGGGGAUAACAGGCUGAUCCCCCCAAGAGCUCAUAUCGACGGGGUGGUUUGGCACCUCGAUGUCGGCUCGUCACAUCCUGGGGCUAGAGAAGGUCCCAAGGGUUGGGCUGUUCGCCCAUUAAAGUGGCACGCGAGCUGGGUUCAGAACGUCGUGAGACAGUUCGGUCUCUAUCUAUCGUGGGCGCAGGAGUUUUGAGUGGUGCUGUCACUAGUACGAGAGGACCGUGACGGACAGACCUCCGGUGUACCGGUUGUGCCGCCAGGCGCACCGCCGGGUAUCCGCGUCUGGAUCGGAUAAGCGCUGAAAGCAUCUAAGUGCGAAGCUUUCCACGAGAUUAGAACUCCAUUGAGGGUCGUCGCAGACGACGACGUUGAUAGGGCGCAGGUGUAAAGACGGCGACGUCAAAGCCGAGCGCUACUAAUUGCCC
rnacentral:rRNA from 1 species